rnacentral:rRNA from 1 species
GGUUCGAUCAUGGCUCAGAUUGAACGCUGGCGGGAUGCUUUACACAUGUAAGUCGAACGCAGUACGGACUUCGGUCUGUGAAGAGUGGCACACCGUGUGGGUGAGUAAUGUAUCGAACUGUACCAGUAGGGGGAUAACUACGCGAAAGCGUAGGUGCUACUGCAUACACUUUCGCGGGGGAAAGCGGGGAUCUUCGGGCCUGCACUAUUAGAGCUGGUCAGACGUGGAUUAGCUAGUUGGUGGGGUAACGGCUCACCAAGGCGACGAUCCGCAGCUGGUUUGAGUCACCAGUCACACUGGGACUGAGACACGGCCCAGACUCUACGGGAGUGCGCAGUGGGGAAUUUUGACAAUGGGGGAAACCCCGAUCCAGCCAUCCCUGCGUGUGAUGAAGGACUUCGGGUUGUAAAGCACUUUUGGCAGGAAGAAACGGCACGGGAUAAUACCCGUGCAACUGACGGUACCUGUGGUAUCACACCGCCAAUCAACACAGCCAGCAGCCGCGGUAAUACGUAGGGUGCGUUAAUCGGAAUUACUGGGCGUAAGCGUGCGCAGGCGGUUCGAAAGAAAGAUGUGAAAUCCCAGAGUUAACCGCGGAACUGCAUUUUUAACUGAGCCAGAGUGUGUCAGAGGGAGGUGGAAUUCCGUGUAGCAGUGAAAUGCGUAGAUAUGUGAGAACACCGAUGGGCGUAGCAGGUGCCUCCGCCGACACUGACGCUCGAGACGAAAGCGUGGGGAGCAACAGGAUUAGAUAAUUCUGGUAGUCCACGCCCUAAACGAUGUCAACUAGCUGUUGGGGCCUUCGGCCUUGGUAGCGCAGCUAACGCGUGAAGUUGACCGCCUGGGGAGACGGUCGCAAGAUUAAACUCCAAAGGAAUUGACGGGAUCCGCACAAGCGGUGGAUGAUGGGAUGAUCUGAUGCAACGCGAAAAACCUUACCUAAUUCUUGACAUGUCUGAAUCCCGAAGAGAUUUGGGAGUGCUCGCGCAAGAGAACCGGAACACAGGUGCUGCAUGGCUGUCGUCAGCUCGUGUCGUGAGAUGUUGGUUAAGUCCUGCAACGAGCGCAACCCUUGUCAUUGCUACGAAAGGGCACUCGACGAGACUGCCGGUGACAAACCGGAGGAAGGUGGGGAUGACGUCAAGUCCCUGGCCUCAUGGGCAGGGCUUCACGACGGCCGCGGCCAAAUGGUCGGGACAGAGGGUCGCCAACCCGCGAGGGGGAGCCAAUCCCAGAAAUCCGAUCGUAGUCCGGAUCGCAGUCUGCAACUCGACUGCGUGAAGUCGGAAUCGCUAGUAAUCGUGGAUCAGCAUGUCGCGGUGAAUACGUUCCCGGGUCUUGUACACACCGCCCGUCACACCAUGUGGAGUGGGUUUUACCAGAAGUAGUUAGCCUAACCGUAAGGAGGCGAUUACCACGGUAGGAUUCAUGACUGGGUGAAGUCGUAACAAGGUAA